rnacentral:rRNA from 1 species
AGAGUUGAUUAUGGCUCAGGAUUAACGCUGGCGGCGUGCCUAAUACAUGCAAGUCGAAUGGUAGCAAUACCAUGGCGAACGGGUGAGUAACACGUAGGUAACCUGUCUUUAAGCCGAGGAUAACCAUUGGAAACGAUGGAUAAUACUGGAUAGGACAUUUGAAGGCAUCUUUAGAUGUUUAAAGAUUUAUCACUUAGAGAGGGGCCUGCGGCGCAUUAGCUAGUUGGUGAGGUGAAGGCUUACCAAGGCGAUGAUGCGUAGCCGGACUGAGAGGUUGAACGGCCACAAUGGAACUGAGAACGGUCCAUACUCCUACGGGAGGCAGCAGUAGGGAAUUUUCGGCAAUGGGCGGAAGCCUGACCGAGCAACGCCGCGUGAACGAAGAAGUAUUUCGGUAUGUAAAGUUCUUUUAUUAGGGACGAAAAGACAGAUUGACGGUACCUAAUGAAUAAGCUCCGGCUAACUACGUGCCAGCCGCCGC